GAUUUUGAUCCGCCCGAGGUUUUGAAGGUUUCUGCAUCGGAUUUCGUGGGGUCUGUGAAGACCACCAUCGACGUUGUCCAGCAGGUCACGCCUGUGGUGGCAAAAGUGGGCAAUGUUUUUGGAGAUUUUAGGCUUCUAAUGCCGUCUCCAACUGCCUUGAUUUGCUUGACCUCUCUGCUGAUGAACUCUCCUCCACCCUCUCUGCAUCUCAGAAUCAUAAUGGUAUAUAUGUUUUUCAAUCUACCGUUUCUUAG